ensembl:lincRNA Dubr Dppa2 upstream binding RNA
GGACCGGCACCGCGCGUGCGUAGAGCUGUCAGCCGCACCCAGGCCGCGCUUCUAGCAAAGUUGCAAAGCAACGGGCAGACCUGUCAGAACGGUGAAGAUCCCGGCGAUGGAAAAAAGGCGAAACUGCUCCGCGUAGGCUGCUCGGAGUGGCAUCGCACCUUGUUCGAGUCCGAAGAAGUUCCCGCUUCUCUAAGCCGGCUGAAGGGAUGCGAGUCUCCUCUUGUCCCAACGGGACUGUGUCCUGACACAGAGUGGACUCCGCCCCAAGAGUGCGAGCGUCCUGAGCGUUCAGGGCAUCCUGAGCCGCGGAAGGCAUCCGGCCACACCCCGCUCUUUACCCGCCAACGCCAGCCCAGGUGGCCAGGCUCAGAAUGGACUGUGAGCCUGUGUGUUAUGCAUCUCUGGUUGUAGAGACAAAAGGACAAAGAUGGAACCCACCAAGGAUGCUCCCGGCUGAAUGAAUUGUUGUUCUCUGGCUUACACAAAGUCAAGCGAAUGAUCGUCCCAUGUUAUGUAAUAUAGCAACGGCCUGCUUACCUUACUCCUUUAAUCUACGUUAUUCUGGAAAGUAACACUUGAAAUAAAAAGUAGAUACAUUCUACUGGGAAUGUGACCCUCAGAGAAGGAAAGAAAGACCGAGGGGUUGAACCUGAACACGUGAAAGAGAAUCCAAGACUUUCCCUAAGAGACUCUUUCCUGUUCUCGUGAUGCACUAAUGACAGAAAUCAUAUGACUAAUGGAGAGAAACUGGUAGAUAUACAAGAAGAACUGCAUUGGGAUAACCGCCAUCUUACAAAGGUACGCAUCCAGGCCUAUUCUGCCCUUGGACCACAUUGUACGUUUAGUGUUUCGGAAGAGAGAAAUCAUCAAAGGCGCACCCAAAGAAACAUCCGAAUGAAAGCUCAGUGGUGUUUGCUUUUCCCAAGGACCGGCAUCAUGGUUUCAGAGUUAACACACUGGAGAAAUACCUAGCCCUCCAUGUCACUCCCUACAUCCUCAACACUCACUCAGAGAGGGGCAUUGAAGAAAGGAUCACCAGUGAGUAGUACUUCUCAAAGAGAAAGCAGAAGAGUUUAUUGCUGCUGAAAGUCUCUGAAUAAAUCCAUGCGCCAAAUCACAACCCGAAAAAGCUCCAGAAAGGUUGCACAUGGUCUAAAAAAUGGAGAGACUGGUGUCCUAUGCCCUGUCUUGUUACCCUGAGACAUGAUGUUGGGUAGAGUUGGUCUAGGUACAAUAUUAUUGAAUUUGCAGGUGCCUAAGUAUAGGGGUCUCACACUGCCAUAUACAGUCAUUAUAGUGUCGGGAGACAAGAAAAUCUUUUUUCGGUGCAGCUGAGAACAUUGGAAAAAUAAUUGCAAUGGCCUGCAGACCUUAGGGACUUUUUGGAGAAAUACAGUGUGACCUCUGAAAAUGCUUUAGAUUCUGUCAAAUAUCAAGAUGCAGAUCCAUAUCAGUGAUUACCAAAAAGGCCAGUAUUCAUUGUUCUUGAAGCUAGUCACAGAUAGACACCAAUCAAGAGUCAAAUGCUGUAUCCUCUAACCAUUUAGAGCUUGGAUGCAGCCCUGAGUAUAAAGGAAGUACUGUGGACCCCUUCACCACACAAAGGUCAUAUGUUCAAAUCUCACCCCUCCCAAAGGUGAUGAUAUUAGGGGGCUGGGACUUCCAGGAGUGAACAGAACAUAUUCCCUUAUUAAAAAGGCUCAAGGGAGCUCACUUACCCUUCUGUCAAGUGACAACAGACAGCUGCUGUGAGUAAUUAAGUGUGUUCUAGCCACAGACCCUGCCAGUGCCUUGAUCUUGAAUUUUCUAGCCUGCAGAAGUAUGAGAUGUUUCUGUUAUGUAUAAUUUACUCAAUAUAUAGUAGGUGUUCUGUUAGCUUAUUUUAAAAUGCAAUGCCUGUAUUUAUCUUGAAAAUAAAGGACUUUAGGAGUGUGUGUGUGUGUGUGUGUGUGUGUGUGUGUGUGUGUGUGUGUGUUCACAUACAUAGCAUAGACAAUAUGUAAGAACUGUGUUCAGUUAUGGAAAAAAUAAAGCCACUUUGCCAUACA